rnacentral:rRNA from 1 species
AGAGUUUGAUCCUGGCUCAGAGCGAACGCAGGCGGCAGGCCUAGCACAUGCAAGUCGAACGGAUCCUCCGGGAUUAGUGGCGGACGGGUGAGUAACACGUGGGAACGUGCCCUUCGGUUCGGAACAACUCAGGGAAACUUGAGCUAAUACCGGAUGUGCCCUUCGGGGGAAAGAUUUAUCGCCAUUGGAGCGGCCCGCGUCUGAUUAGCUAGUUGGUGGGGUAAAGGCCCACCAAGGCGACGAUCAGUAGCUGGUCUGAGAGGAUGAUCAGCCACAUUGGGACUGAGACACGGCCCAAACUCCUACGGGAGGCAGCAGUGGGGAAUCUUGCGCAAUGGGCGAAAGCCUGACGCAGCCAUGCCGCGUGAAUGAUGAAGGUCUUAGGAUUGUAAAAUUCUUUCACCGGGGACGAUAAUGACGGUACCCGGAGAAGAAGCCCCGGCUAACUUCGUGCCAGCAGCCGCGGUAAUACGAAGGGGGCUAGCGUUGCUCGGAAUUACUGGGCGUAAAGGGAGCGUAGGCGGACUGUUAAGUUAGAGGUGAAAGCCCAGGGCUCAACCUUGGAAUUGCCUUUGAUACUGGCAGUCUUGAGUACGGAAGAGGUAUGUGGAACUCCGAGUGUAGAGGUGAAAUCCGUAGAUAUUCGGAAGAACACCAGUGGCGAAGGCGACAUACUGGUCCGUUACUGACGCUGAGGCUC